GAUGAACGCUGGCGGCGUGCCUAAUACAUGCAAGUCGAGCGAACGGACGAGAAGCUUGCUUCUCUGAUGUUAGCGGCGGACGGGUGAGUAACACGUGGAUAACCUACCUAUAAGACUGGGAUAACUUCGGGAAACCGGAGCUAAUACCGGAUAAUAUUUUGAACCGCAUGGUUCAAAAGUGAAAGACGGUCUUGCUGUCACUUAUAGAUGGAUCCGCGCUGCAUUAGCUAGUUGGUAAGGUAACGGCUUACCAAGGCAACGAUGCAUAGCCGACCUGAGAGGGUGAUCGGCCACACUGGAACUGAGACACGGUCCAGACUCCUACGGGAGGCAGCAGUAGGGAAUCUUCCGCAAUGGGCGAAAGCCUGACGGAGCAACGCCGCGUGAGUGAUGAAGGUCUUCGGAUCGUAAAACUCUGUUAUUAGGGAAGAACAUAUGUGUAAGUAACUGUGCACAUCUUGACGGUACCUAAUCAGAAAGCCACGGCUAACUACGUGCCAGCAGCCGCGGUAAUACGUAGGUGGCAAGCGUUAUCCGGAAUUAUUGGGCGUAAAGCGCGCGUAGGCGGUUUUUUAAGUCUGAUGUGAAAGCCCACGGCUCAACCGUGGAGGGUCAUUGGAAACUGGAAAACUUGAGUGCAGAAGAGGAAAGUGGGAUUCCAUGUGUAGCGGUGAAAUGCUCAGAGAUAUGGAGGAACACCAGUGGCGAAGGCGACUUUCUGGUCUGUAACUGACGCUGAUGUGCGAAAGCGUGGGGAUCAAACAGGAUUAGAUACCCUGGUAGUCCACGCCGUAAACGAUGAGUGCUAAGUGUUAGGGGGUUUCCGCCCCUUAGUGCUGCAGCUAACGCAUUAAGCACUCCGCCUGGGGAGUACGACCGCAAGGUUGAAACUCAAAGGAAUUGACGGGGACCCGCACAAGCGGUGGAGCAUGUGGUUUAAUUCGAAGCAACGCGAAGAACCUUACCAAAUCUUGACAUCCUUUGACAACUCUAGAGAUAGAGCCUUCCCCUUCGGGGGACAAAGUGACAGGUGGUGCAUGGUUGUCGUCAGCUCGUGUCGUGAGAUGUUGGGUUAAGUCCCGCAACGAGCGCAACCCUUAAGCUUAGUUGCCAUCAUUAAGUUGGGCACUCUAAGUUGACUGCCGGUGACAAACCGGAGGAAGGUGGGGAUGACGUCAAAUCAUCAUGCCCCUUAUGAUUUGGGCUACACACGUGCUACAAUGGACAAUACAAAGGGCAGCGAAACCGCGAGGUCAAGCAAAUCCCAUAAAGUUGUUCUCAGUUCGGAUUGUAGUCUGCAACUCGACUACAUGAAGCUGGAAUCGCUAGUAAUCGUAGAUCAGCAUGCUACGGUGAAUACGUUCCCGGGUCU
rnacentral:rRNA from 1 species